rnacentral:rRNA from 1 species
AGCGAACGCUGGCGGCAGGCCUAACACAUGCAAGUCGAACGAAUCCUUCGGGGGUAGUGGCCCACGGGUGCGUAAGACGCGGGAACGCGCUGUUAGGUUCGGAAUAACUCAGGGAAACCUGUGCUAAUAUCGCAUGCGCCCGUCGGGGGAUAGAUUUCUCGCCUUUAGACGGGCCCGCGUCUGAUUAGCUAGUUGGUGGGGUAACGGCCGACCAAGGCUACGAUCGGUGGCUGGUCUGAGAGGAUGACCAGCCACAUUGGGACUGGGACACGGCCCAAACUCCUACGGGAGGCAGCAGUGGGGAAUCUUGCGCAAUGGGCGAAAGCCUGACGCAGCCAUGCCGGGUGGAUGAUGAAGGUCUUAGGAUUGUAAAAUCCUUUCGCCGGUGAAGAUAAUGACUGUAACCGGAGAAGAAGCCCCGGCUAACUUCGUGCCAGCAGCCGCCGUAAGAC